GCUAGCAGCUAUAUCGCUCUCAACUGGCUACCCACUUAAGCUAAGCAGGGUUGAGCCUGGUCAGUACCUGGAUGUGCUAUCUCCUGGGAAGCUGUGGUUGCUGCUGGAA
rnacentral:rRNA from 1 species